ensembl:lncRNA
AUGCAUGCCUUUCAUAUAACAUUCAAUGCUUUGCACAUCUACCAGAAUAAUAUGAACAAGUUUCUUACUGAAAUAUAUAAAGGAUUCAACCUUAAAUGGAAGAACAAUGAAAUAAUAUCCUGGUUUUUGGCCGAGGGCAAAAAAUUGACGUCUAAAGCGAAAUAUAAAAAAAUCCCGACUGCCAUCAUCUACCUUCUUCGCAAAAAUGACCUAGAGACAAUAGCUGAAAACGAACGCGCGAUAACAAGCAUAAAAGAAAUUGAAAAGGCACGCUCUGAAGAAUUGCAAAAGUUAAGAGCACAGGUCGAGGCAUUUACUUUCGAAAGACAAGGUUGGGCAAGACAGAGUGAGAUGAUGUCUAGAAAAAUCGAAGAACUUCAAAACAAACUCCUAAACGGCAACAAUUACAUAUCAGCUCUUGAAGACUGCUGUGAUAAUGCAGGCUUCCCAGUGGCUGCAGUUAAGCAAGCGGCACUGGAUGAAACCUUUGAUUAUGAUAGAAACAGCGAUAGUGAUGAUGAUGAUGUUGAGCAGAGAAACCGAGAUCCCGUUCAGAGACACAGAGAACAAAAUCAGCGAAGUCCGAUUAAAACCAGAGCAAAAUCCAGCGAAAAACCCUCCAAAUCAGUUAAAAUUGCUGUACUCAAAACCAUAACAAAUACAAAUGAUGAAAUAACCACGAUUAGCCGCCCAUUAACAUGCGAAGAGUGUACAACACACAAACAGAUCGUGGGAAUGAUGCCCAGAAGAGGGCCAUUCCAACCCUAUUGGGAAACACUGAUGCUACAAGCCACAGUGUAUAAAUUGGAAACUAGGGAUGUAUGGCAAAUCGCACUCUUAACCAUUCCUGAAGAGCUCCGAUCUAAAUUAACCCCUCAAAUGAAAUCUGGAGACAUAAUCAAGCGAAACAAUAACGAAACUGACGAAAGUAUCUUUGAACGAUUAAAACAGGCAUUGCUAGAUAUAAGGGGUCCAACGAGCGCGGAUUGGAGCAGGAUACUACAAAUUAAGCAGGAAAGCAAUGAACCGUUUGAAACAUUCGCUGAACGUCUGUGGACGACAUACAAAGAAUAUUCCGGUCUAGAAAAUGCAAGCCGUGAUCACGAACCAUUGUUACAACUCAUAAAGAACAAUGCUGGCACUCCAGUCCAAAAUGCAUUGUUAAACGGAGCAGAUUCAGCCGAAAACACAUUCAGAGCGAUUGUAGAUUGGGGUUCAAGGAUAGAAAACAGAUGGAAAUCAAAGCCCCACAGUAUUGCAUCUGCACAUUGGAUGACAGAAGGGAAUUAUUCUAAAAGCAGUGGGACUGAAAAGCAUGUCCACUUCUUGGAGGAGGUGACUUGCUGUGAUGAAUCUAGAACUUUUAGUUCAGAGGAAGCCUGUGCCACUGCUCAAGAUAGUGUGCCGAUUUCAGUUCUUAAGGAGAUGCAGCACCAUAAUAGCGCAGAGUCGUGGACCAGAGCGCAAGGUGUAAAGAAAGCAUUAGAGAUUCAUGAAAAUCCUCAAACUUCAGGAGAACACAGCAAACAAACCUGUGGCAAAGAUAGCAGGUUUUGUUCUUCCUGUCAGAAAAUAGGCCAUACAGAGGAAAAAUGCUGGUCACUGGGAAGGGGUAGACCUCCACCUUAUUUUCUGAAAAGUAAGAUAUCACUUUCUAAAGGAAAAGAUCAGGGGUUGACAUGUAACAAGUCUACCUCUGGUAACACUAUUAGUGAGUUGACUGCAUUGAUUAUGCAAGGCCUUCAGCUACUGACUUCACUUACUAGUGGGUUAGCAGUUUAA